CAGCUAAUUCUCAAGAACACAAACCUGACCAAUAUGAGAGAGAGCAGCUAAUAUUCAAGAACAAAAUCCUGACUGAUAACAGAGAGCAGCUAAGAAGUGAACUUCUGAUUUGUGUUGGAUGGAUUUUCUAUCAAUGCUGUUUUUACUACAUGUCCAAUGAUACAAAGAACUGGACUGAGAGCAGAAGAGUUUGUACAGAGAGAGGAGCAGAUCUGAUCAUCAUAAACAACAGAGAGGAAUAUGAUUUUCUUCAGAACAUGUCUGGUGCUGCCGCAGUUAAUAUUGGUCUGACUGACAUUGAUGUGGAGGGCAGAUGGAAAUGG